GCCUCGUGUAGUGGUAGCACGCAUCCCUGGUAUGUACGAAACGCGGGUUCGUCUCCCGCCUGAAGCG